rnacentral:lncRNA from 1 species
CAGGGAUUAUGGGGACUACAAUUCCAGAUGAGAUUUUGGGUGGGAACACAGCCAGACCAUAUCAAGGAGUUAAAGUGAGGCUUUUGCCUUUGGGUCACGUGUGGCACCUGGUUUCUUAUGGAAGUCAUUGCCCUCCGCAUUUGAAUGGGGCAGGGGAUAAAGCUAGGCUCCAAUCAUCUCUGUCCUUCGUCUCCCACUUUGGAAUCCUGUCUCCUUUCUUCUGUCAUAAAUAACCUUCUUACCUUAAUGCCCUGUGUUAGAGCUGCCCACCCGGAGUUAGAGCUUUACUGCUCCCCUUACUUUCCAUUUGGGGAUCUUAAGACGUGGAGUACAGCAGGGAGACUCGGAGAAGGAGCUGGUACACUUCAAAAGCAAGUGAACUAUUUCUCAAUAAGACUUGGAAUUCCAACUUCUGGUUAAUUGUAAAUAUGAUUUGGAGGAAGAAGUAGCACAUCAGGGAGCUAAGGUAAGAUGGGAAGCAGAGGAGUGAUAUACUCUAGCUCACAUUUUAAAGAUUUUUAAGAAUGGGGCAAGGGAACAAGAAAGAAGACCAGCUGGAGGCCCUUCCCUUGUAAUAGCCCAGGCAAGAGAUGGUGCUGGCAGUGUCUACGGUGGCAGCAGGGAAGGUACCAAGAAAUGGUUGGAUUUUAGACAGGAUUUGCUGAUGGACAGGUUAGAUGAGGGAUGCUUUUAGAGUUUGUGCAGUUGUGUCUUCCGGAUCAGAAUCACGUUAUUUUUGCAGUUUCCUCAUCUGCAAAAUGGGAAUGAUUUUGAGAAUCCAUCCUGAGAAAAGCCCUCAGCACCAUGCCUAGUACAUAGCAAGCAUUCAAUAAAUGUUAUUUAUUACUACCAAUUAGCUAAGUA